rnacentral:lncRNA from 1 species
UGAAUAUAUACAGGAGCAAGAGAACAUAGAGAAAAGAAAGAGGCUUGGGGGCGUAUGCUCUUAUAACACAGAGCAAAUGAUUCUCCACUGAGAACACCAUGAAUAUGAAAACCAUGCAACAGAUGCAGUAUGCUGAACAUCAAAUGUUGGGAAACAAAGAUAUGGAGAAGAUUGUGGUUAUUCAACAAGGAUAAUGAGAACCUGAAAUACUACCAUGAUAAAGAAUGUCAGUGGUGCCAACACAAGAGUUUGAUUUUCUCAGAGUUUUAAGAGCUCCUGACUGCCCUCUGAAGCCUGAAUCUUUUAAAGUUCAUGUUUGGAAGCAUCUCUUCAAGUAUGAAGUAAGGUUGGGAGCGGGGUGGAGAGUAUCUAUAUUUGGAUAUCUGGCGUUCAAGGAUGGCAAAA